rnacentral:tRNA from 1 species
GUCUAUAUAGUAUAAAAAUUAUUUUUGACUUCCAAUCAGAAGAUCUAAAUAUUUAGUAUAGAUA